rnacentral:rRNA from 1 species
GAUGAACGCUGGCGGCGUGCCUAAUACAUGCAAGUCGAGCGAACGGACGAGAAGCUUGCUUCUCUGAUGUUAGCGGCGGACGGGUGAGUAUCACGUGGAUAACCUACCUAUAAGACUGGGAUAACUUCGGGAAACCGUAGCUAAUACCGGAUAAUAUUUUGAACCGCAUGGUUCAAAAGUGAAAGACGGUCUUGCUGUCACUUAUAGAUGGAUCCGCGCUGCAUUAGCUAGUUGGUAAGGUAACGGCUUACCAAGGCAACGAUGCAUAGCCGACCUGAGAGGGUGAUCGGCCACACUGGAACUGAGACACGGUCCAGACUCCUACGGGAGGCAGCAGUAGGGAAUCUUCCGCAAUGGGCGAAAGCCUGACGGAGCAACGCCGCGUGAGUGAUGAAGGUCUUCGGAUCGUAAAACUCUGUUAUUAGGGAAGAACAUAUGUGUAAGUAACUGUGCACAUCUUGACGGUACCUAAUCAGAAAGCCACGGCUAACUACGUG